CAGCCGCCACGGUAAUACGGAGGGAGCUAGCGUUAUUCGGAAUUACUGGGCGUAAAGCGCACGUAGGCGGCUUUGUAAGUUAGAGGUGAAAGCCUGGAGCUCAACUCCAGAAUUGCCUUUGAUACUGCAUCGCUUGAAUCCAGGAGAGGUGAGUGGAAUUCCGAGUGUAGAGGUGAAAUUCGUAGAUAUUCGGAAGAACACCAGUGGCGAAGGCGGCUCACUGGCCCGGUACUGACGCUGAGGCGCGAAAGCGUGGGGAGCAAACAGGAUUAGAUACCCCAGUAGUCCCUGUCUCUUAUAC
rnacentral:rRNA from 1 species